rnacentral:rRNA from 1 species
AGUAACAGUUGGAAACGACUGCUAAUACCGCAUACGAUCUAAUCUCGGCAUCGAGGAUAGAUGAAAGGUGGCCUCUACAUGUAAGCUAUCACUGAAGGAGGGGAUUGCGUCUGAUUAGCUAGUUGGAGGGGUAACGGCCCACCAAGGCGAUGAUCAGUAGCCGGUCUGAGAGGAUGAACGGCCACAUUGGGACUGAGACACGGCCCAG